rnacentral:rRNA from 1 species
UCUGGUUGAUCCUGGCGGAGGCCAUUGCUAUUGGGAUCCGAUUUAGCCAUGCUAGUUGUACGAGUUCAGACUCGUAGCGAAUAGCUCAGUAACACGUGGCCAAACUACCCUUCGGACCACAAUACCCUCGGGAAACUGAGGUUAAUAGUGUAUCCCACACUCGGACUGGAAUGUCGAGUGUGACAAACGCUCCGGCGCCGAAGGAUGUGGCUGCGGCCGAUUAGGUAGACGGUGGGGUAACGGCCCACCGUGCCAAUAAUCGGUACGGGUCAUGAGAGUGAGAACCCGGAGACGGAAUCUGAGACAAGAUUCCGGGCCCUACGGGGCGCAGCAGGCGCGAAACCUUUACACUGCACGCCAGUGCGAUAAGGGGAUCCCAAGUGCGCAGGCAUAGAGCCUGCGCUUUUGUCCACCCUAGGGAGGUGGACGAAUAAGGGCUGGGCAAGACCGGUGCCAGCCGCCGCGGUAAUACCGGCAGCCCGAGUGAUGGCCGAUCUUAUUGGGCCUAAAGCGUCCGUAGCUGGCCGCGCAAGUCCAUCGGGAAAUCCACCCGCUCAACGGGUGGCCGUCCGGUGGAAACUGCACGGCUUGGGACCGGAAGGCGCGACGGGUACGUCCGGGGUA